AUUCCAUGAUUUGGACAUUUUCGAAACAUGUUUUUAAACAUUUCCCAAGCCUCAUGAAAGCUCCCAAAUUUGGAUUGUUGGAAUGUGGUUAUGUCAUUCUUGAGUUU
rnacentral:snoRNA from 1 species